rnacentral:misc_RNA from 1 species
GAAAUGCGAUAAGUAAUGUGAAUUGCAGAAUUCAGUGAAUCAUCGAAUCUUUGAACGCAUCUUGCGCUCCUUGGUAUUCCUUGGAGCAUGCCUGUUUGAGUAUCAUGAAAUCUUCAAAGUAAAUCUUUUGUUAACUCAAUUGGUUUCUACUUUGGUAUUGGAGGUCUUUGCAGCUUCACACCUGCUCCUCUUUGUUCAUUAGCUGGAUCUCAGUGUUAUGCUUGGUUCCACUCGGCGUGAUAAGUUAUCUAUCGCUGAGGACACUGUAAAAGGUGGCCAAGGUAAAUGCAGAUGAACCGCUUCUAAUAGUCCUUUGACUUGGACAAUACUUUUAUGAUCUGAUCUCAAAUCAGGUAGGACUACCCGCUGAACUUAAGC